rnacentral:tRNA from 2 species
GCGAGGGUAGCUAAGCUUGGUCAACGGCGCAGGAUUGAGGGUCCUGUCCAUAGAGGUUCUUGGGUUCAAAUCCCAACCCUCGCA